rnacentral:rRNA from 1 species
AUUGAACGCUGGCGGCAGGCUUAACACAUGCAAGUCGAGCGGUAACAUUUCUAGCUUGCUAGAAGAUGACGAGCGGCGGACGGGUGAGUAAUACUUAGGAAUCUACCUAGUAGUGGGGGAUAGCUCGGGGAAACUCGAAUUAAUACCGCAUACGACCUAUGGGAGAAGGGGGGCAACUUGUUGCUCUCGCUAUUAGAUGAGCCUAAGUCGGAUUAGCUAGAUGGUGGGGUAAAGGCCUACCAUGGCGACGAUCUGUAGCUGGUCUGAGAGGAUGAUCAGCCACACCGGGACUGAGACACGGCCCGGACUCCUACGGGAGGCAGCAGUGGGGAAUAUUGGACAAUGGGGGAAACCCUGAUCCAGCCAUGCCGCGUGUGUGAAGAAGGCCUUUUGGUUGUAAAGCACUUUAAGCAGUGAAGAAGACUCUUCGGUUAAUACCCGGAGACGAUGACAUUAGCUGCAGAAUAAGCACCGGCUAACUCUGUGCCAGCAGCCGCGGUAAUACAGAGGGUGCAAGCGUUAAUCGGAAUUACUGGGCGUAAAGCGAGCGUAGGUGGCUUGAUAAGUCAGAUGUGAAAUCCCCGGGCUUAACCUGGGAACUGCAUCUGAUACUGUUAGGCUAGAGUAGGUGAGAGGAAGGUAGAAUUCCAGGUGUAGCGGUGAAAUGCGUAGAGAUCUGGAGGAAUACCGAUGGCGAAGGCAGCCUUCUGGCAUCAUACUGACACUGAGGCUCGAAAGCGUGGGUAGCAAACAGG